GUUGGGAGCUCUCCCAUAUGGUCGACCUGCAGGCGGCCGCGAAUUCACUAGUGAUUAGAGUUUGAUCAUGGCUCAGAACGAACGCUGGCGGCAUGCCUAACACAUGCAAGUCGAACGAACCCUUCGGGGUUAGUGGCGCACGGGUGCGUAACGCGUGGGAAUCUGCCCUUUGCUUCGGAAUAACAGUUAGAAAUGACUGCUAAUACCGGAUGAUGUCUUCGGACCAAAGAUUUAUCGGCAAAGGAUGAGCCCGCGUAGGAUUAGGUAGUUGGUGGGGUAAAGGCCUACCAAGCCGACGAUCCUUAGCUGGUCUGAGAGGAUGAUCAGCCACACUGGGACUGAGACACGGCCCAGACUCCUACGGGAGGCAGCAGUGGGGAAUAUUGGACAAUGGGCGAAAGCCUGAUCCAGCAAUGCCGCGUGAGUGAUGAAGGCCUUCGGGUCGUAAAGCUCUUUUACCAGGGAUGAUAAUGACAGUACCUGGAGAAUAAGCUCCGGCUACUCCGUGCCAGCAGCCGCGGUAAAAUCGAAUUCCCGCGGCCGCCAUGGCGGCCGGGAGCAUGCGACGUCGGGCCCAAU
rnacentral:rRNA from 1 species